GACUGGGUUCUGCAACUGAAGCGCAGGUGAGAACUCGUGGGACAAAUUCCUUCCUCUGCAUUUCCUGGAAGGUUUUGUCUCCGAGUCAAGAGAAAACUGAGCUCUGGAUUUUGUAAAAGCCCCUCUAUUAACCCACCCGCCGUGGUAACCUAAGGCCCUCUCAGCUAUAGCUCAGAAACACAUCGCCGAAUCGCUCAGUUCUAACUCUGCCAUUCUCAGACCCACGUAUUUCUCGGCUCGCCUGAAGUCCAGUGAGAACCGGCUCCCAGCCCCGUUGUGCUCGCUCCCGACAGACCUUGGGAAGAGCUGAGAUCUUCAAAGCCGACUAAGAGAAGCAGAUCAGAUGUCUGAAAAUGGAUGGGAACUGGCUGCCCAAAUCCGAUAGGCAGCUCUGUUAAUCCCAGCCCGAAUACAGAAUGACAUAUGUUCUUUAUAAAAGGAGAAUGAUUUUCUUCCC